rnacentral:rRNA from 1 species
UACGUAGGGGGCAAGCGUUAUCCGGAUUUACUGGGUGUAAAGGGAGCGUAGACGGCAAUACAAGUCGGAAGUGAAAUACCCGGGCUUAACCUGGGAACUGCUUUGGAAACUGUAUGGCUGGAGUGCUGGAGAGGUAAGCGGAAUUCCUAGUGUAGCGGUGAAAUGCGUAGAUAUUAGGAGGAACACCAGUGGCGAAGGCGACUUACUGGACAGUAACUGACGUUGAGGCUCGAAAGCGUGGGGAGCAAACAGG